UUGUCUAUUGACAGAAAAAGGUCUCCCCAGGUGUUGUUUUCUCUCUGCAAUCACUUCCCUGGUUUGUUUUUCUUAAUUUUUUGUCAUUUCUUUCUUAAUCUCUAGCUUUGUUUGUUACCAUAUAUGGCUAUGUAGAUGAAGAGCUUCAUGCAAAGAACAAAUAAACAGACCAGUGUUGUGUUUUUUUUUCAUUGGUUGUGGAUUGAAGAAACGAGUUGUGCACUACACUUCUAGGAUCUUUUGCUUUCAAGGCCAUUCCAAUUGAAACAAACAAGAAAAUAUUUGUUUUUUUUGUCACAUGGUACUUUGAAAAUAAUUCACUAGGUUGUUUUCAAAGAGUGCAUAGAGGGUGGGAGUUUAGACUUCUAAGAAGAUUGCAGACUAGGUUCUUAAUUACAGGUGGUGUAGCAAACAAUAUUUCUUGGGAUAAAAAAAACUGCAUGACUGGAAGAACAGGUAACUCCUUCGAUCUCUCCUUCAAUAUUUAAAAAAGGCAUCGAGAUAGAUGAAUAUUAGAGCUUAGAAGAAAAUUGAAAAUGAAGAGAGGACGCUUGCAUGGUGACCUGCCAUCCCCACUGAUCUAAUGUCCAGUUCAGAGGGAGAGAACUGAAACAAAUUCAUCAUGCACUCCAUGAAAAUGAACCUCAGUACACUGCACAUGCCCUUCAAUAUAUACAUUUACCUUUUUGUUUUGAAAUAUAAUACAAUGAAAAUAAAAAAGGGUGUUGAUCUUAAUUGUGUUUUGGGUAUAGGGUUUUCGUUUAAGGGAUGCUAAUAGGAAAUCAUUACUGCAUGGAAUCCAAAGACGUGGAUCUAUAUACAUUUGGAAAUCUUUCAGAUGACAGUUCGUCCCUUUUUUCUUCAAAACAACUUCAGUGAUUAUGCAUGUUGUGCGUGUAGUCUGGCAUUGCCUUCUGUUGAGCGUUGGAUUGAUUUUUCUUCUGGUGCUUGGCCUGGCACUGGUUCAAGCACUUUGAUAUGUUGGAUUUUAUGCUUUUUUUUUCAGGUUAUGUUGACUCACGGAUUGAAAAGGGUCUUGCUGUUUUUGGAUUGCAGUUAUCAAGCGUUUAAACUAGCUAAGCUUGGUACUACUUCCAUCCCUAUUCUUUAAAAACUUGCGUUUAUUGGACAAGUAUGUGUUGGAUUUUUUUUAAAGGAAAUUCUUGAUUUUUUUAAUGCUCAUUUGAAUUCUUCUCGGUCAUCUUUUUAUUUUUAUUUUUUUGGGAAUACAUCGAUUUGAACGAGUAAAUUUUAUAUUUUGAUUUAAAAUAUUAGUUUAUUCACAUGUUAGUUUGGAGAUUAAGAGAAAAUUGUCGGUUAUCUACAUUCAACUAAUAAAAAAGCUAAUUUUAGUGUUAAUAGAUUCCUUUUAGCAAGAGGAAAGUCAUUGAGAUGUUUUUGAGCUUCUAUCUCGCUGGAAAAAAUAGAUCGAGAUUAGAGAAUAAUUUCUAUUUAGUUUAAUUUUUUAUUUUUUGAUCGAUUAAUGAGUGUUUUAAAGUUAGAAAUUGAUUAACUAAUAUGAUUAGGAUGCUUAUUACGUCUUUUUAGGUGAAAAUAGUUUGAAAUUUGAGUUUUUGGCUAUAAAAAACUUGGGAUCCCAGAAUUAGACGACGCCGCAUCAUCUGCCACUAUAGAAAACACCUCAUAUGUUUUUUUAAAGGCAAACAACAUGUCAUUUACCUUUAAAUAAAAAUAAAUAAAGAAUGCCAAAUACGUGGCCCUGGCCUUGAAGGUCCCAAUGUGCUAGGCCUUCUUAUUGUUGAGUUAGACUUGCUGGACUAAUCUCGUAUUGCCAAGCAUUUCAUCUCUUUCUAUGAUAUUUUGUUUCUCUAUUUUUUGAGAUUUUGAUUGAAAUGUACUUUAAAUUAUUAUUUAAUUUUGACAUAGUUUUUAAAUAAUAUUAUAGAUUUUUAUAAGAACAUUAACAAUUGUUUUCUUAAUUAUAUAUAUAUAUAUAUAUAAAGUGUUCAUGAAUAUCCAAUGAAAAUAAAAUUUUUAUUUUGUAGUUUUUAAUAGAUUUAUGACAUGAUUUUAUCACAUCAAUUUUUUUUAACCUUUAAUUACACACAAAAUAUUAUGAUAUUAUUUUAAUAUUAUUUUAUUAAUUUUUUUGAGAUCAUGAAAGUCUUUUAAUUUAAAGAUAAUUCUUAUAAUUAAAAAACAUGAUUUUAUUGAAACAGUAAAGUGAUACAUUAACAAGAAAAUUUUUAAACCCGAUAAGACCCACAACCUAAGUCAUAUGUUGUGCGAGUGGACUUGUGUCAAUCUAGUACAAUAUCGUUUCAACACUUAAAAAAAAAGCAUAAAAACAACAUUUAGAAACAUAAUCUUAAAAAAAGUUAGACCUAGUUCUGACGAGGUCGCGAUUUGACUUAUUGGUUAAUUGGGUCAUAACAAGUCAAACUCCAUCGAAUUUAAUUUGAAAGUCUACAUAAACUAAGGGUUAUGUCAGCUGAUCACCAAGUUGACUUGCUCAAGCAAGCCAAGGCUUAAUAAUACUUCCAAAAUGUUCCUUACCGCAUGCAAAGAACUAAGCUAGUUAUAUUCCCAAAUUAUGUUAGGGUCCUUUUUGGUGUCUUUAUUUUCCUUUGCUAAUUUUCAUUUUAUUAUUGGCUAUCUAUGCAAUCUUAAUUUCAAUGGAGUAAUUUAUUAUUCUGAAAAAACAAUCGUUUAUAAGUGCGAGGAAGAGGGUUAAAAACACCAAGCACACAAACAUUUAACCUCUCAAGCUUUUAUUGAUUGAUUCUAACACUUUUAAAAUUUUGAAUUCAUUGGCCCUUAUAUUUAUAGGGAUAUUACAACAUUUAACUAUCAUAAUUUAAUAAGGAUUUUAUUUAACUAGUUAAACAAGGAUUAUAAACUAAUAUUCUUAAACACUCAGUUUUGUAAAAAAUAACUUUCUUUUAAACAAGGUAUAUAUAGGUUGUCUUUUUAUAUAUUUCAUUUUCGAAAGAUAUAUAUAGGUCUUUAAUAUCUUGUAUAUAACUUCAUAAUAUAUUUCUAAAUUAAUCUUAAUUGGUAAUUUAUAGAUUACCGAAACCAGGUCUUCUAAGGCAAGUUUUACUUUGCGGAGUAUAUUUUGUUUUUGUCAGUAAACAACUAGAGCAUUAAAAAAUAUUUUUUAACCUUCUUCCGUGCGCGAAAUAAAGAUUAUCAAGUAUAAAUAUUUUUCUAACAAUAAAUUUUCUUGUUGGCUAAAGUACUUGUAGUUUCCAUUGUUCAUUUCAUCGAGCUUUAUUUCUCCAACUAUGAUUUGUUUAGAUAAAUCAGAGUCCAUUUUUGCCUGCAUAUAAAUAAUAAACUAGUUUUUGCAUUUAUUUUACCUUGUGUUUAUUUUCCCCUAAAAAAACCUCUUAUACUGCCUUAUCUAUGAUAUUUUACGUCCUUUUGUUAAGUUCAGUUUAGGAAGAAAAACUGUUUAAAUAGCAUGUACAAAGAAUAUAAGCCUUAUUUUUUUAAUUUUUUUUCUAAUAUUAGAGGUUGAUUUAUCUUAUGUUUUUUAGGUUGUUUUUAUGUCGAUAUCAGAGGCUAACUUAUUGUUAUCAAAUACACUAAACUCCCUAUAAUAUGCUUGUAAAUAGUGGCAUCAACCUUCUUUCCCUCAUUAUCCUUUUUAGUUUCAAACCAAACUCAGCUGGUGUACACAUCAAAUUGCAAUUCUUCAUUCGAAAGUUAUCUAAAAUUUCUCGAACAUGUUUCUUUUAAUAAAUAAAAAUUAUGACAUUUUAUUGAACCACUUCAAAGUCAGGAAAGUAAUUAACUUUUCAAGAUUAAACAUAUCAAACAUAGUCAUCAUAGACCUCUUAAAUUUUUCAAGCAUGGCCCCAUCAUUACUAGUGUAAAUCAAAUCAUUUAUAUAUAAGCAUACAACAUACAAAAAAUAUUUUUCCUCCAUCUUUAAUUUUAAUGAAAAAAAAGUAUGCUCAUAUGUAUAUUUUUUUUAAUCUUUCUUUUUAGAAAUAAGCAUUUAUAUGAAUGUAUUAAUCUCUUGAAGCUUGCUUCAACCUAUAAAGAUUCUUUUUCAACUUAUAAACUUUAUGCUCAUUAGCAAAUUUCAUAUAAAUACGAGGUUGAUUAACAAAUACUUGUUCUUGAAGAUCUUAUUUAAAAGCUAACUUCACAUCUAACUAGAAGAUAAGCCAUGAAUUUUAAGCUACCAAAUCAAUAAUCAAUCUUAUUAUAUUAUGGCUUGUAAUCGGAGUAAAAACUUCUUUAUAAUCGAUACCAUACUAUUGCUUGUAACCUUUAGCUACUAGAUGUGCUUUAUAUAUAUCAAUUUCAUCAUUCUCCUUUAAUUUUUUCUUAUACACCCAUUACACCAAUGGUCCUUUGUCAUUUUGGAAGCUCCAUCACCUCCCCAAUGUUAUUUUUUCUCAAUGACAUCAAUUUUAUCAUCCAUAGCCUUUUGCUACUUUGUUUCUUUAAAGACAUCUUUGAAAGUCAUAGGAUCACAAUAUGAGUAUUGAGCAAAAUAAGUAAGUAAAUCAUUAGAUUGAUCAAUUCUAGUUAUUUCUUAAUCACUUAUCCAUAUAGGCCUUUUUUUUCUAACACAUUAUGAUAUUUGACUAUUAGGUGUAAUUUGAUUAUCUACUGGUUACAAUGCUUUCUCCAUAGGUUUUUCCCCUUUUUUUCAGCAUCAUCACCAUCUAAAUCCAUUGAAAUAUUUUGUUUAACACCAUCAUUACUCCAUAUUGUGAUUAUAUAGUUUAAUUUUAUAGGCCUUUUUUCUAACACAUUGGAAUAUUUUGUUUAACACUAUCAUUACUCCAUAUUGUGAUUAUAGAGGCUUUUUUUCUAACACAUUAGAAUAUUUUGUUUAACACCAUCAUUGCUCAAUAUUGUGAUUAUAUAGGCCUUUUUUUAACACAUUAUGAUAUUUCACUAUUAGGUGUAAUUUGAUUAUCUACUGGUUUUGGUGCUUUCUCCAUAGGUUUUUCCUAUUUUUUUCAUCAUCAUUACCAUCUAAAUCCAUUGGAAUAUUUUGUUUAACACCAUCAUUACUCCAUAUUGUUUAGCCUCAUAAAAAAUAACAUCUCAACUAAUAAAAAAUUUCUUGGUGUGUUAGGAUUAUAUAGUUUAUAAGCUUUUAAGUAAUCACUAAUAUGAAGAGAAAUACAUUUUUCUCUUUUAUCAUCAAGCUUUUUCCUCUUUUGGUCUAGAAUAUGGGAAAAAAUAAUGCACUUAAGAAUUCUGAUAUGAUUUACCACUGAUCUUCAUCCACUCCAAGCUUCCUCUGAUGUCUUGUCUCUAACGACAACCAUGAGACUUCUAUUCAAAAUAUGAAUGCACCAAUUUACUACUUUAGACCAAUGAUUUUUUAGUAAGCCACUCCCUGUAAAAAGAAUUCUCAUCAUAUCCAUAAUAGUACGGUUCUUCCUUUUCCAAACACCAUUUUGUUGAGGCAUAUAAGUUAUGGUAAAUUGGCUUUUGAUUUCACGGGUCUCAUAAAAAUUUAUAAAUUCAUGAGUUAUACUCUCCAUCAUGGUCUGUUCGAAUAACAUAUUUUUGGUUUUUCAGCUUCAUUUUUAACAAGUGUUUUAUACCAAUUAAAGGCUUCAAAAUCUUUAGAUUUUUCUUGUAAAAAAUAAACUCAAAUUUUUCGACUACAAUCAUCAAUAAAAGUGAUUAUAUAUAUUUUACAUCUAUUAAAAAGUGGAGUUAUUGGCUUACAAAUAUCAAAAUGAAAAGCUCUGAUGGCUUUCUUGCUCUUCCUGAUUUUCCUCGUGAAAAUUGAUUUCAAUGUUGUUUACUAAAAACACAUUCUUCACAAACUUCAGAAGGGGUUGUGAUUCGAGGAAGACCCAUCAUCAUAUUUUCUUGAUGUAAAAUUUCUAAUCCGUUAAAUUUAAGGUAUCCAUUGCAAAUAUGUCAUAGCCAUAUAUAAUGUAUUCAGUAAGUCUUAUUAGCAGAUACAUAGAGAAUCCAAUAGAAUCUCAUCUUCAAACUUCUAAAAGGAUAUUUUCACACUUGAAAGGUACUAUGGAGUGUGGAUUGUUCUACAAGAAAGGGAAAAUAUCAAAUUUGAUUGGUUUUACUGAUAGCAAUUAUGAGAGAGAUUAAGAUAAUAGAAAAGGCACUUUUAGAUAUGUUUAUAAGGUUGAUUUAAUAUCUUAUAAUCUUGAAAUAUGCAAUCAAUCAAUUGUCACUUUAUCAACCAUGAAAGCUAGAUUUAUAGCCGCGACUUUGUAUACAUGUCAAGCAAUAUGGUUGAAGAAAAUUCUUAAGAGAUUUGACAAAGGAUGUAAUGAUUGAAAUCAUCUAUUGCAAAAGUGAAGAACAAGUCGUUGAUAUAUUCACUAAGUCUCUCAAAUUGGCUAUUACUGAGAGGACUAUUGUGCAUUAUUGCUGGAACUGUGUUACCGUUGUCAGUGCGAAGAAACUCUGCUAUAAUGCUAGUUUGUUUGGAAGGUGCUAUCAUGGUUUGCUACUACUCUUCUUGUUGUUGCUGGGCAGGACUAAUCACUGUUGGAUCGUCUGCAAUAAGUUGUUGUUGUUGCUAUCAAUGUUUCAUUGUUGUAAUGAUAACUAAUCUUUGUGUGGGGGAGUUCUGCUUUCUUAGAAAUUUUGUUAAUGCUAUUGUGAAGAGUUUUUCUUACUUCCUUAGUUUCUUAAUCAACUUAAGUUCUAAUAACAUUUGUUAAAAACACUAAGCACACAAAUAUUUAACCUCCUAAGCUUUUAUUGAUUGAUUCAAUACUUUUAAAAUUCUGAAUACAUUGACCCGUAUAUCACAAGGAGAUUAUAAUCUCUAACUAUCAUAAUCCAAUAAAGAUUUUAAUUAACCAAUUAAAUAAGGAUUCUAAACACAUAUUUUUUUUAAAUAAAGGUUCCGACUUAUACUAGAAUUAUAACUAAUAUCUAAUAAAAAGAGGCUAAAAAGAGUUAGUGAUAGAGGUGAUGAGUAAAAUGAAGCAUGAUGAGUUAAAAAAAAUUUAAAGACUGAAGUAAGUCAUCAUGGAAAAGGCGUUUUGGACCGUUUAGAAUGGAGUCAUUGAAAAGAAAAAAAAAAGCACUUUAUAGAUUACUUGUAAAACAUUGUCGCAUGUAAAACAAGCUUGAAAUGCAACUUCUUUAAUUUCCUUGAAUUUAUCUAAUGCCGCUAGUGUGAAUCACUAAACCACUACCCCUACAAGGCACCAUAUAUAAAUUAAAAUAUUUUUAAUGCUCAAAUAUGAUCUCAUUGUUGACAUGUAAAUGCAAAAAAUUUUAUUGUGUUUUCUACUUUUAAUUUUUUUUUUUGUUUUGUAAGUGACAUGCUUUUAUAGGAUGAAGGUGUACUUUUGGGGAUUGAUUGCAUUAAAGAUUAAUAUUUUAUGAUUGUUAGUUGUUUUAUUCAUAGGAUAGUUAGUGUUUUUUAGCAGUAAUUAUAGUUUUAAAUUAGAUAAUGUUCUAAGGUUACACUGCGUGUCAGAUCAAAUUUUUUAACAUUAAAAAGACGUUCUUAAUGUGUUUUUUAGUAAAAAAAAAUAAAAAUAAACCAUGUGGGAUUGACUCAAUGUGACCUGAUCAACUUGACGGGUCUAAAGACAACUCGGAUAACUUGUAAAAAUAUAGUUUGACUAAAGAAAAUUCAAGAAUACAACUUUUUUAAAAAAAUAUUGAGAUGACAAAACAUCAUGUCGACUUAGUUGAACAUGAGUUAACCUGCCAAAUCUGUCUCUCAGGUCAUGAGACCGUGAUAAUUAAAACAAAUUAUAAAGCUCAAUUCUCAAUUAACCCAAUAUUAAAAGAUAAAAUUGAAAAAAAAUCAAUUAUAAAAAAGGACCCGAAAAGAAAAUGACUCAAGUCACAUAAGUUAAUCUGACAAAUUCUUGACUUGGAUCAUGAUAUUGAGAUAACUUAAUAGAACACAAAUCAAAAUAAGUUAUGAAACUCAAUUCUCAAUCAACCCAACGUUGAAGGAUAAAGUUGAAAAAUAUCAAUUAAAAAAAAGACAAAAACUAUUCAAUUCAAUAUGGGUGAACUCGUGACUCAAGUCAUGAGAUAUGAAUAACUUCAUAGAAAAUAAAUUAAAAACAUUAUGAAGUCAUAUCUCCAGUAAACUCAAUAUUAAAUAUUAAAAUUAAAAAAUAAAAAUAAAAACCAUUAGCUGAGGAGACAAACAAUUAAUUCACGUACUUAUUUUCAUUAUAUAAAAUAGGAUUUAAAUGUUAUAAAAGAAGGGAUUAAUUAUUGUGAGCACUUGUAUUUCAACAAUUGUAUUUACAUUUCAAAGCCACGUUAAUGCGUUUGAAUAUCAAAGGAAAUGAACUCUCAACACAAUGAAUUAGAGAAAUAGGAUUCAUGUGAAAAGACAAUUUUUUAGUUAACUCAAUAUAGCAUACAAGGUUUUACGGUAGUGAUUAUACUAGGAGCUUAAUCAGUUUUUUUUUUAUACUAUUAUGCAUUUUUGUUUUCAUAAUAAAAAAAAUGUACUAUUGAGAAUCUCAAUUGAAUUCAUAAAAACAAUACAAUUUAGAGUGUGUUUGACAUUGUGUUUGGAACUAUUUUUAAGGAAGUGUUUGAGAGUAUAAUGACAGUUGCUUUUCAAAGUGCAUUUUGUUCGAAAAUGCAUCAUAAUAAUAUCUUUUUAUUUUUUAAAAAAUAUUUUUGACACAUCAAAACAAUUCAAAAACAUAAGAAAAUAGUUUUAAGCAGAAAUAAAAUUCAAAUUUUGUUGAAACACCUGUGCAAACAUAGCCCCAAACGAGGUCUAAGUGCGUUUGGCUUGAAAAAAACAUUAAAUUGAUGGGUUUUUUUUAGUGUUUUCCGAAGGAUUUAAUGUGUUGAUGUCAAAAAUUAAAAAAAAUUGAAAAAAUAAUUUUAAUACAUUUUCAAGCAAAUAACACUUUUGAAAAGUACCCUACACCACAAUCUUAAUAUGUGUUUGGUAUUGUUGUAUCUUUUAUGGUUGUAUCUUGAAAAAAAAUAGAUUAAAAAAAAACUUUUAGCUAUUGCUAGUUGGAUUAAAAUAUGUGUUUGGUUAAAACUGGAAUUAAAAUUAUUAUUGACUAUAAGUAGUGAAAAGGUAUUUGGUUAAAACUGUUGUUAAAAGUGUUUUUGAUAACCUUAAAUGUAUUUCAUAACUUUAAAUUACAUAACCAUGUGAUUAUUAAUAUAUAAGAAAUAUAGCAAAACAAUAUUAAAGUCCUAUUUUAUACAAUAAAUAUACCAAUUGCAAAGUUAGCCUAGCUAAGAAUCUAAGCAUUAUUAUUAUUUAUAUAUAUCCUGAAAUAUAAAGUAAUUUUAUUGUUCUAUUAAAUAGUUGCAAUUCCAUCAUGAACAUCAUCCAUUCAAAAAUGGUAUAUGGUUUACAUGUUUUAUGGAUGUUUUCUACAAUCCUAUUAUCUUGUCUAUUAAUAAAUAAAAUUUGAUAUUUUGGAAAUACACAAUUACAAGCAUGUUUAGCAAGCAAUUUUGCACUCAAUAAACAACAAAAUCUAGCACUAGACAAGUUUGACAUUCAAUAAACUUAUUAUUUAUAUAAGAAAAAAGAUUCUACUCAAAUCAAGAGCCUCAAAUCCCAUCUUAAAAAAGAAUAAUAAACUAUCAGAGAGAUUACAACUUAGACAUUGAGAUAUAUAACCUAUUCCCCUUGUUUUCUAAAUGUAAAUGCAGAAGUUCUUAGGAGAGAGCAAAAAUUAAUCAUCUAAGAUCAAAUUCACAUUUAAAUUUGUAAAUAAAUUCAUGGAUUUCGUGGCAAAAUUUUUACCAUUGAGCCUUAUACCUCCACAUUUUAAUUACAUAAAUUAUCAUUGUUAUUUUGGCUCAUGGAUGCACAAAGAUUUUAGCAAAUAAUUUUGGCUCAUGGAUGCACAAAGAUUUUAGCAAAUAAUUUCUUAACCACCUCAAAGUUAAAAAAGAAUAAAUUAUAGCUUUAACUAUCUAGUGAUUGAUCGGAGUUUGUUCCAAGUUCAAUUAGCAAGUUGGAAAAGAAAUGGCUAAAUCUAAAACAAAGUAGAUGAGAAAUAACCAAUUAUCUCUUACUCAAUACAAUUUAAUAGCCAGUAGGUGGAUGAUUUGAAUGUUUUGUUCUUCUUUUUUCAAUACAUCUAAGAGGGGAUAAAUUAGGUAUUCCACUAAUAAUAAUAAAUAUUGCAAUUAAUUAAAUUAAACAUAAUUAACCAAUAAUAUAAUGAAAUUGCGUAAAGUAAAGAAUAAAGAGAUAGAAAUUAUAAACUUGAUUUUUAACGUGGUUCGAUAAGUCUACAUCCACACCUCAAACAAUAUACUGGUCUUGAAUAUUGUAUUUUUUAUUAAUCCAAGCUAAAGAUUGCAAUCUCCUUAAUGAAUCCUCACCAAGCCUUUUUUUACCACCUGAAGAAAUACCCUUGUAAAACCCAGGAUAAAUUAAGAAUAAUAUAAUAGCAACUAUGGUGUAAUAAAAUGAAAUAAGAAAAUGAUUAUAAUAAAUAGGGAAAGAAAAGUUAAGAAAAAGAAAAGUUUAUGGCCGAAUUAGUAUAUUUUAACAGAAGUAGAAAUGAUAUAACUGUUUUGAUAAAUAACUAGAUAGAUUUAAGAAAACGGUCAAAUCGUUGGCUACUAUAUCUAUUAUAACUCGAUGAUGUGUAGUAAGAGAGAAAAGAACAUUUAUGUGUCUUCUUCCUUCCUUUCACCUUUAAAGGCUAGAGAAUGAGGUUUAGGGUUUUGAGAGAGAGAAACACAUCCAUAUUAGAAAUAUAGAAAGAUGAAAGAGAAGGAAGAUUGAAUUAGAGAGAAAAAGUGAAGAAAAAAAAGGAAGAAAGAGAAGCCUUGGAAAAUUCCAACUAGUUGAUUUUUGAAAUACAUUUUGUAACCAGGUAAGAUGUUUGGACCCCUUUAUGUCAAUUUAAACAAGAGUUAGUUGAUUUUGAACAAAUUUUAGCAAAAUUGAAUUAGAGUUCUCGAGAUGAAAUUUGUGGGGAAAGUGAAUUUUUUAGAAAUUGAGUUUCUGUAACUUUUAUAAGUGGUUGUAGGAGUGAAAUAAUGGAAGAAUAAUGAAGAAAAUUGAUAGGUAAGGAAGGACUAUAGGACGGCCAUAAAGAAAAAGAAAAAAAGGGAAAUUAUACAUUUAUGAUACUGACUAUUAAUUGUGUUAUAAAUGAGUAUAAGAUCAUGCGAAAAAUAAUUUUUAUUGAGUUGAAUUAAUGAAACAAUGAAAUAUUGAGAAAUUAAAUAGUUGGGUCUAGCGGGAAGAAAUUAUAAAUUCUAUGGAAUUGUAUAAAAUUGAAUAUAGAUUGAAUGGAGAACUAUUUUGUUAUCUUUGAUUUGUGUUAAGUGACAUGUUAGAUAAAUGGGUAACACUUGGAUUAGUUGAAGAAUUGUGAAUUAAAUUGCUUGAAAUAAGAUGAAUAUAAUUGAAUCUGAAAAAAUAUGCUUGGUAAUUAUGAUGCAGGCGAGGCCGUAAAAGUUGUGCACACGGUAGGGACCAUUGUGUGCCAGACAAUAGCAGGUAGGUGCCCUGCGCUUCACUUUUUUUAUGCAUUUUCAUUUAAUUUGUGAAUUUCUUAAAUGUAAAAGUACAUGGGAAUGUCGUUAAAAUAUGUAAGAUUAAAGAGUUUGAUUAAAUGAUGAACUAAGGCUUGCUAAAAGGAAUGUCGUAAUUGAUUUGGUAUUCCAUAAAAGGAAUUGUUGUGUAGAGUGAAAUUUCAUCAAAGGAGUUGUUGUGUGGAGUGGAAUCUCAUCAAAGGAAUUGCUAUGUAGUAUGGAAUUUCGUUGAAGGAAUUAUCAUGUGGUGUGAAAAUUUGUUAAAGGAAUUAUCGGAAUUGUCAUAUGGCAUGGAGUUCCAUUGAAAUAAUUGUCAUGUGGUAUGGAGAUUCAUUAAAGGAAUUAUCAUAGUGAAUAACUUCUAAGAAGGAAAUCCAAAUUAUAGGCUCUCCAAUAUGGAUUGCUGAAUUUAAAUCGAAAAUACUAUAUUAUUGGUAUAUGAAAUGGAGUAUUAUAUUUGAUAAUUAUAUUUAUUUGAUGAAGUACCAAAAUUAAGUUUAUUAGUUUAAAUGGUGAAGAUUAAUUAUGAAGUAUUCAUGAUUAUUUCGUAUGGGUAUCUCAGGUAUAUCUCAAGAUCAACGUAAUUAGUUACUUUGGUGACUUUAUGCUGGUUUAGAUUACAUAUUAGGGACCUAUGUAUAUGAUGUGUUUUGGUUAUUUAUGUUUGUAAGUGACAAAUUCAUAGACUAUUAAAGUAUGUAAUUGUAACUAAUAUAUGAUAGUUUUAAUGAAUGAACAUUUUGUAAAUAUGCAUGAUAUGAUAUUUAUAGGUAAUC
rnacentral:lncRNA from 1 species